GACCGCGUAGCUCUGUUGGCAGAGCAUUGAACUGGUGUUCCAAAGAUCGUAAUGGUUCGAUUCCCACCGUGGCCA